rnacentral:rRNA from 1 species
GGGGAAUAUUGCGCAAUGGGGGGAACCCUGACGCAGCAACGCCGCGUGAAGGAAGAAGGCCUUCGGGUUGUAAACUUCUUUGAUCAGGGACGAAGGAAAUGACUGUACCUGAAGAACAAGCCACGGCUAACUACGUGCCAGCAGCCGCGGUAAUACGUAGGUGGCAAGCGUUGUCCGGAAUUACUGGGUGUAAAGGGCGUGUAGGCGGGGAGGUAAGUCAGAUGUGAAAUUCCAGGGCUCAACCCUGGAGCUGCAUCUGAAACUAUCUUUCUUGAGUGCUGGAGAGGAAAGCGGAAUUCCUAGUGUAGCGGUGAAAUGCGUAGAUAUUAGGAGGAACACCAGUGGCGAAGGCGGCUUUCUGGACAGUAACUGACGCUGAGGCGCGAAAGCGUGGGGAGCAAAC